rnacentral:rRNA from 1 species
GACGAACGCUGGCGGCGUGCUUAACACAUGCAAGUCGAACGGAAAGGCCCCCACUUUUUUGGUGGGGGUGCUCGAGUGGCGAACGGGUGAGUAACACGUGGGUGAUCUGCCCUGUACUUCGGGCUAAGCUUGGGAAACUUGGUCUAAUACCGGUUAGGACCAUGGUUUAGUGUCUUAUGGUCGAACAAUUUUUGUUUUGGUUCAGGAUGAGCUCGCGGCCUAUCAGCUUGUUGGUUGCGUAAUGGCCUACCCAUGCGUCGACAGGUAGCCGGCCUGGGAGGGUGGACGGCCAGAUAGGGAGAGAGAGACGGCACAGACACGGACGGGAGGCAGCAGUGAGGAAGAAUGAACGAUGGGCGCAAGCCUGAUGCAGGGACGGCGCGUGGGGGAUGACGGCCUUCGGGUUGUAAACUCCUUUCGUUAGGGACGAAGGCGAACCUUUUUUGGGUGUGGUGACGGUACCUUUGUUAAGAAGCACCGGCUAACUACGUG